UGGAGGGUAAGCAACUCUUUUGGGUGAACAACUCUCCUGGUGAUUAAGUUUGUCUUCCAACCAUGGAGAAAUCCAGACUGACCAGUGGUUUUAAGAAGUGGAAGUCUCAGUAUCUACCUACACAGGCUUUCUUCCGUUCAGCUUCUCCCAUGCAAGGUAAAGAAUUGAUUAAUUUCUAAAAUCAAUGCUAAAGCAACGACAGCAACCAAUAAAUAUGUUAUGGAGACAUCUAGCUCAUCCGUGCCAUUGUGCACCUCUAGUUUCCCUUCUGCAAUUUGAAUGAAGGGAGGUGCCUAGAGCAGGAAGUCAGGGGUUCCUGGUGGAGAUGUAUGUGGCUCUGCAAAGAUCUUCUCUCAUUGAACAUCUUCCUUAGUGCUUCAAGAGCACUGCUGUGUCCACAGUGGCUGCAUGACCUUCAUUUUCACGGUGAUUCCUUUGGUUGUGUCAUUCCCUCAGUCCAAGACAUCCAAGGAGUUCCUGCAGCACGUUCUGAUAUGGAAAAGUAAUUGGACGGAAAUCUUUCUAUAAUUGUAACUGUUCUUAAUUCAACUCAUGCUUUGAGGAAAAAGUAAAGCCACAGUCUUUUUGUUUGUUGGUUGGUUUAAUGUUUUACUCUUGAGUAAUUUCUCUUGCUCUCACUUCUGCAUUGCUCUUCUGUGCAUGUUUCUCUGCUGCCUUCUCAUCCUGAUUGUGGCAGCAGAAAUGGAGGCAACAGCUUCAUGUGCUCUUCAGAUUAUCAAUAAUCCAGCUGCUUCCUGGUGCUUGAGAGCCACUGAUGUGACAUCCAUGCUCGAAGACACCCACACACUGUGUGGGCAGAACCCAUCCUUGGUGUCAACAGCCCUUUCAGGACACUGGCAUGAAGAACCUGGAGUGACCAUGGCCAAACAAAGGGAGACCACAGAGCUGGCCCUGACCUGUACGGUAGCUGUGGUGCACAGGCAAUAUGCUGGAUAUGCAACAGGCAAAAAGUGACUUAUGAAAUCUGCGUUACAAUACAGCUGGAUUAUGCCAACCUUUUGCUUAUGAAGGAGAGCUGAAUUUCAGUAGAGCUGUAGGAAGAGACUGUGGGAAUACAGGAUAUGGGACUUCAUACCUUGUUUGUGAUGACACCUAAAGUGGACAGGAUUUUUAGGUAGGCCUGCCUAGGAUCUUAUAGUGAACAUGACAGAAAUUUGUGAUAGUCUUUGAAACUCCAAAACCUGUACUGAGGGUAAACUAGCGUGGAUUCUGAAGAGAAA
rnacentral:lncRNA from 1 species